rnacentral:rRNA from 1 species
GACGAACGCUGGCGGCGUGCUUAACACAUGCAAGUCGAACGGAAAGGCCCUGCUUUUGUGGGGUGCUCGAGUGGCGAACGGGUGAGUAACACGUGAGUAACAUGCCCUUGUCUUUGGGAUAACAUCAGGGAACUGGGGCUAAUACCGGAUAGGAGCUCCUGCAGCACGGUGGGGGUUGGAAAGAUUCGGCGGUGGGGGAUGGACUCGCGGCGUAUCAGCUUGUUGGUGGGGUAGUGGCUUAGGAGGGCUUGGAUGGGUAGCCGGCAUGAGAGGGUGGGCGGCCGCCCUGGAAGUGAGACCCGGCCCAGAGGCCUAGGGGAGGCACCAGGACGGAAUCGUGGGCAAUGGGGGAGAAACUGACGGAGAAAGGCCGAGUGAGGGAUGAAGGACUCCGGGUCGUGAAACUCUGUUUUUGGGGAAGAACACAUUUGCACGUAGGUAUGCGCGUGUUGACGGUAACUGGUGAAAAAGCCACGGCUAACUACGUG